CCUACGGGUGACAGCAGUGAGGAAUAUUGGUCAAUGGACGAGAGUCUGAACCAGCCAAGUAGCGUGAAGGAUGACUGCCCUAUGGGUUGUAAACUUCUUUUAUAUGGGAAUAAAACGUUCCACGUGUGGGAUUUUGUAUGUACCCUAUGAAUAAGGAUCGGCUAACUCCGUGCCAGCAGCCGCGGUAAUACGGAGGAUCCGAGCGUUAUCCGGAUUUAUUGGGUUUAAAGGGAGCGUAGGUGGAUUGUUAAGUCAGUUGUGAAAGUUUGCGGCUCAACCGUAAAAUUGCAGUUGAAACUGGCAGUCUUGAGUACAGUAGAGGUGGGCGGAAUUCGUGGUGUAGCGGUGAAAUGCUUAGAUAUCACGAAGAACUCCGAUUGCGAAGGCAGUUCACUGGACUGCAACUGACACUGAGGCUCGAAAGUGUGGGUAUCAAACAGGAUUAGAUACCCCAGUAGUC
rnacentral:rRNA from 1 species